CUUUGCCCAUUUUUGUAUACCUAUUCCUUCUUAUUUUUCUUUUACCAUUUAAAGGAUGGAUUUUUAUAUUUUUAAUUUUCAUUUUGGGUGGGGUGACUCAUGGAUUCAUUCUAUUCCCGCCCCCAAUAGAUAGGCGAGAUGGAGUGAAAUUGAACUAGAAUUUACAUGGAUUCGACCCUAGCUAGAAAAAUAAAGGAUCUAACUACGACUCUAGAGUUUGGUUUGUUUAAGGUUAUUCUCUUGUGUCGUAAGUUACUGAUUUUGCUAGAUAAUCAUACUUUACUUUUUUUUUUUUACCAUUUGUUAAACGGACUAUUGAAUGCUUCAGAGUUUGGCAUACUUGUGGUCUGGUUGGGUUUAAUCAGUAGCUUGUAUCAUAUGAUAUUGGAUGAUUGUGGUGGAGUCAAAGACAAUUAUUGGUUUUGGUAUAUCUAAGGUCUUACCAAAAAGUUCUGGAUAAAAUACAGAUUUCAAUAUAAAAGAGUGAACACAAAAACUAGGGGAAUCAGGUGUCCAACUCUAGUUAUGAUAGAAAUUGUAUUGAUGGUUUUCAAAAUUUUAAGAGGGGGAAAAUAUAAAACUUUCACACUAAAGAGAGGACCACAAGAAGCCAUAAACGGUCUCCAAAAUAUUGUCCAUGCCUUCUCUAUUCCCAGUGGUUAUUCUGUCAUCAGUCUUUCCCUCCAUAACUCACGAAAUAGCCAACAUUGAAAUAACCCUCUUGGUUGCACCAAUUUGUUCAAGAGGCUGGAUGCCUUGGAAUCAAGUCUUCUACAUACUUUCUUGACCUCUUGCAUUGAGCCCAAUAUUUGGAUAUUCUAUUUGGACAAGGAUAUUGCCUCUAAAGCUGAUCACAAGUAUCAUUAUUCAUUCAUUUCUUUAUAUGAUAGUCACUACACUAAUAUUUGGAAGCUUUGGAUCCAGCACUUUUAGUCACUUUUGAGCUCCUACUGACCAACCUAAUUUGCAAUUCUUUUUUUGAGGAGAUAAAAGCUAACCAAAAGUAGAGAUUGAAUAAAAAUUAAAUGGUAAAAGGAAUUUGCAUAUGAGCUAGCUUGAAUCCUCCAUACUUUCUGCACAUAAGCUUUUUUGAGCCGUUUAUGCCCUUAGCUUUAGUGUGUUACCCCUCCCCUCAAACAAUGAUCUUGGAAGUUCUUACUUUGCUGGAAGACUAAGUCUAAGACCUCUCUAUCAUGUAGGAAGCAUAGACGUGUAAAUAUUGGGGAAGUGUCCAUGUAAGACACGUGUUCAACACAUGAAAUAAAGUGUUUGCUUUUUUUAUUAUUUUAUUUUAUUUUUUAAUUAUUUUUUAAUUUUCGAACAUGUUGGGAAACGUCCAAGACACGUUUUCGACAUGCCCGGAAAAGAAAGGUAUUAACUUGCUUAAAAAAGGAGUCAAACCUAUAAAACCCUAAAUGAUCGAAGAAAUAACGUUAUAUUGAUUGAACAUCAGCCACCUUGCUCCCUCCAUUGAGCAAUGUUUCUCAAGGAGCGCCUUCAACAGAUGCCAACCUGAUCCCCUCCUUAAAAACCAACUACAUCGACCCCUCUUCCUUUACCAAGCGCACUAUUUUUCUCCCUGGCAAACACUCCACGACCAUCUUACCGUUGCCAUCAGAUGCUGACACGGAUGCAUUUCUAUGUAGCCCAAUGCCAUUUUCUCCUUCAUAGCACAUAGGAGAAGAAUGGUCUGAUCAUUAUCCUCAAAAUCGAUAUAGAUCUUUCGACCCAACUCCUCACUUGAUGCCUUGGCCCCAUGGUUUAAUGAACUAGGCCUCUGUAUAAAGGCGAUCCCUACUAGAAAAUAAUCCAACCGGUUAUCUUCAAAGAAAAAAAGGAAUGAGAGAACUUCGGAAUCUAGAAAGUUUCAUCUCCAAUGACAAAAAAACAAAAGCUCAGUUUAGAGAAGAUUAUGCAUCUGCUCGAGUCUACUCUUAUCAACCCCGCACAUCGGUAUCAGUUCAUGGAUAAAGUCACGUUUUCUUUAAUCGAUCUUUUGGCCAUGGGACUUUUACAAACUUAGAUCUUCUUCUUUUUUGGGCGUUUCAUCAACAACGUGCUCGUUUAUCUGCCUUUGUUUAAGGAGUAUCUUUUGUAUCUUUUUAGUUGUAUUUGACCAUUUUGUAUAGGCUCCCCUUCCUCUUAUAUUCAUCUUUUAUCAUCGUUGGGGUUGUCUUCUCCUCAUAUUACUUUGGGAUUCGUUGUAAUCUUUUGUGUACCUCUUUCGAUUAUUUCAUUUAUCAAUGAAAUGUUUCUUAUAAAAAAAAAUAUUGAUUGAACAAGGAGGAGAUGAAGCACUAGUUUAGAAAGAUUGAAGGUUUUUUCCCAUUUGAAAUAACCCAUAACACCCAUUUGGUGGGAAGGGAUCUUUGAUCUCGCCAUCAGAGUUGUGAGAGUGAGAGCAGGAUCGUCCCCAUCCUUGAAAAGCUAUUGUUAUUUGUGUGUGGGGUACUGGUUUUAUUUUGAAUUGAUAUUCCCAUCUCCACAUCUAGAAGAAUUUUUUUUGUUGUGGAAGGACCACCAUUAGUUGCAUCACUAUAUGUACAUAUAUAUUGGAUUUCUUUUGUUUGUUUAUUGUUAUUUUUUCAUAUCUUGGUAAUCACUUUUAAUUGUAGAUAAUAAUACAAUUUACUUUAAGAUAAAUUUUUCUUCUCCCCAGGUCAAUAUGACAAUAUAUAUAAGUAAAGUAAAUAUAAAAAAAGAAUAUAGGAGGUUAGAUACUGCAUAAUAUAUUAAACAAUGCAAAAAAAAAAAAAAAAAAAAAAAAAGCAUCUAUGUCCUACUUUUUUGGAAAUUGAUGUGUCGCCGUGUCCAUGUCAUAUUGCAUGUUCAUAUCCAUGCUUCUUAUAUUUUAACUACGUUCAAUCCUUGGUUGGAAAACAUGUCUACUAUUAGAAAAUUCAUACCUGUAGAAAGGUGGUAGGGGGGAUUGAGAAGAUAGCUAAUAUUGACAUAUUGUUACACCAAAAAUUUAAUUUUCUUCUUCAAGUUUUGUACGAGCGAUACAGAGGGAAACAAUUACAAUAAACCUAUCUUGCGUCGUGUUUCCUUGUCCUUACCUUUUGUUUCCCUUGGAGGGAUGCUUGAUGGCCUUGGCCAAAUCUUUGUUGGAGGUUUGCUUCAUUUAAUUUUUGGGUUUUUGUUGACCUUUCUCGCAUAGGGAGGUUUGUGGGCUGUGCUUUUUUACUUGCUCUGUUGGAUUCAAAUCUCUAGUCCUCAUGUUGUUCAAAGAGGGUUUUCUAGUUUUCUUGUAUACCACAUCUUUCAUCUUUUUUGUAGCUCUAACAUUCUGUUUACCUUUUGUUGCCCUUGGAGAGGUGUUCGUUGGCUUUGGCCAAUCUUCCUCGAGGGGUUUGCUUCGCUUAAUUUUUGGGUUUUUUUUGACCUUUUUCGUAUAUAGUGGUUCUGGACGUUGCUUCUUUGCCUACUUUGUUGGAUUCAAUUUCUUGCAUAGAGAGGUUGUGGACUGUGCUUCUUUACUUGUAUUGUUGGAUUCAGUUGAUUUGAAUCCAAGGUGGAAGGGAUCUUUGAGUCUAGUCCUCAUGUUGUUCAAAGAGGGUUUUCUGGUCUUCUUGUAAACCACAUCUUUCAUCUUUUCUGUAGCUCUAACAUUUUGUUUACCUUUUGUUGCCCUCGGAGAGGUGUUUGUUGGCUUUGGCCAAUCUUCCUCAAGGGGUUUGCUUUGCUUAAUUUUUGGGUUUUUUUGACCUUUGUCGUAUAGAGUGGUUAUGGACGUUGCUUCUUUGCCUACUUUGUUGGAUUCAAUUUGUUUGAUUCCGAGUGGAAAAGAUCUUUGAGUCUAAUUGUGUUCUUCAAAAGGGUGGAAAGAAGGGUUUCUUGUGGAAGUUUCAUUAUGAAAAGGCCUGCAAUAAAGUGAAUCGGGUUUUCCUAGAUGAUGUGAUGAGUAAUAAAGGUUUUGGGGCUAAAUGGAGAAUAUGGAUUUUGGGAUCUCUCUCCAUAGUAAUUGGUAAAUUAUUCAAUUAUUAUAAAUGGUCGACUGAUGCUUUUUGAUAUAUGUGAUGGUUAAAUGCUCUAUGAUGCCUUCAAGAAUACAUUGUUUUGCCUAAUUAAAUCCAAUCGUAAAUCUAACUAGGUGCCUGGUGAGUCUAGGGUCGAACGCAGGGAUUGCUUGCUAUUGAUGCGAUGACACUAUUGUUUCAAUCUUGACGCUAAUUUGUUGUUAAAUAAAGGCAAUGAGUUUAUGUUCCUAAUUGUUGAAAUGAAAGCUGAUGAAUGCGUUGGAAAUCACCAUCGUAAUGGAAGCAACUUAUGCAAUGCGAUGAAGUUUUCCAAGGGAUGAAUUAGGGUUGAGGCACAUAUUCAAUAACGUUCCCAAAGUAAAUGCACAAACCAUGGGUAUACAAAUUACUCACUAAUGAAUUUAGCCAAUGAACUUGCGAGUAACCACCUCUAGUUUUGAUUUGCGAGUAAUUUGCUUAGAAAUAGGACAAUAGGACAAUUUUCUUUUCUGUAGCUCUCACUAAUGAUUAUUCUGACGACAUGCAUUAAAUUCCAUAUCUUGACGUGCUGUCUGCUUCACGUCAGAAGUUCAUUGGCUCUACUGUGAACCUUUCUUAUCAGCUACCAACUUGGUCUUUGAUUUGACUUCCACCACCUAUGCGUCAUGUCACAUUCCCUUUCUUCUAUCGCAUGAGUCUAUGCAUAGGAAUUUCUUCCGCAAUGAACUGUUGAUCGCAUGAUAGGAUUUCUGCAUUUCAAAAAGCACAAUUUUAUAAUUUAAGGGUUAUGAGAUGUUGUAUACAUGCGAUUGCAUAAUAUAAUGAAAUCAUGAAUUUCUUACCAAUUCUGUCGCACUGUCCAUGAUUUUUCUUAAUUUUUUUGGAUAAAAGAGGUAAAAUAACUUGUAUUUCUACAAGUUAUCUUUGACCUCAUUAGAAAAUUAUGGCUAGGCCCUAGGUGUUUCAAACAAGGUGAUCUACUUGAAUAUUUUGAUGAAUCCUUUGAUUGCUAAAUUAAAUCUCCUUUCAUUGACAAUAUAAUUUACACAGGAUAGGAAAAGGAAAACCAUAGCUCUUGGAUGUACUUAAAUUUUAAUGAAUCCCAGAGUUGUAUAGAGUUGUAUAAGGCUAAUGGAGAAGGAAAAAAAAAAUCUGAAGCAAGGAUUGUGGUACCUUGGCUUUUGGAGCACAACUCGUGCAUCAUGGCUAUACCUUCAUCCUCUAAAAGAGUCAAACGAACUCAGAAACAAACAAGUGGCAUAAAUGAGUUAAAGAGGCUAUUUUCAUCUAUCAACUAUGAAAAGGUCUCCUCCAAGGCUAUCUCUGGUGGGUCGACAUCAACUAAAUGAUAAUUCUCUCUUGGAAUGUGCAAGGUAUUAACGCCCGAGAAAAACAAGUGGUGGUGAAAAAUCUUAUUCUUAAACACAAUCCAAUGGUGGUAAUCUUUCAAGAAACCAAGCUUGAAGAGGUGGAUUGUACAAUCAUAAAGUCCCUUCGGAGGUAUCAUCAUCAUGUGGAAUGAUCCUUCCUUUGUAUCCGGAGAAGUUAUUAAAGGUCUUUUCUCCAUUACCUUGCGUUUUUACUUGGUUGAUGGUUUUCCUUUUUGGCUUUCUGAUGUUUAUGGCCCAUCUCGUGCUAGAGAUAGACUCCUUUUCUGGCAGGAACUAUAUGAUCUCCAAGGCCUUUGUACUGGAAAUUGGAUCCUUGGAGGAGACUUCAAUGUAUCUUGAUGGUCAUAAGAAACUCCUAGUGGCAGACCUCAAUUGGCGAGUAUGAAAGCUUUUAACUGUUUUAUUGAUAUGGUGGAUCUUCUUAACAUUCCUUUACAAAAUGGCUUGUACACAUGGUAUGGAUAUAGACAUUACCCUUGUCUUCACCCUUAUAAACAUAUUUUUUAUUAUUGAUAGCAUACAACAAAAAUUUGCAUAUACCACAUCAAAAUGAUUGGAAAGACCCAUCUCUGAUCAUUACCCUAUCUUACUUUCCAAUGGCGCGGACGAAUGGCUACACCUUUCCGUUUCGAAAAUAUGUGGCUGAGGCACAGAGAAUUUCAAAGCAUAGUUAAUUAUUGGUGGAAGAAUACUCCUUUGAUUGGCAGACCAGGGCAUGAUUUAAUUGUCAAUUUAAAAGGUCUUAAAGAGGUUCAGGAAGAGUGAACAAACCCACUUUCGGGUGCAUUCAUACUCAGAAAAAUCAACUCAUGGUGGAAAUGACUAUGUUGGACGACCUAGAGGAAUCAAAUGAUAGUCUGCCUAGCCACAGGGAACAGAAAAAAAGCCUCAAGUCACAACUCCUCACUGUGGUGGCCAAGGAAGAAACCAUUUGGAGGCAAAAGUGCAAAUCCAUUCGGCUUAAGAAAGGUUAUUUACAAAGAAUGACAAUCUACAUGCUUUCCCCAUUCUUGCUUGGCCCUCCUUACUAAUUAGUCUCUGAUGCUGGAAUUUCCAUUCACAUAACAAGAAAUUUGGUGUGCGGUUUGUGCUUUUGGCACAAACAAGUCCUCGAGCCUUGAUGGUUAUACCGUCGAGUUCUAUAAAAAAAAAUCUUGGAACAUCCUUAAGAACGACAUAUUGAGGGUGUUCCAGGAUUUUUUUUUUAAGAAAGGGAUUGUCAAUGUGAAUCUUAAUGAGACUUAUAUUUGUCUCGUACCCAAGCGUGCUGAUGCUUGGAGAGUUGGUGAUUUCAGACCGAUCAGCCUCACUACCGGGGUUUACAAGAUUUUGGUGAGAGUCCUCUCUAAUAGGCUUAAGAGUGUUCACCCCUUCUUUAUUUCCGAGCACCAAUAAGCCUUUAUUGAGGGCCGUCAGAUACUUGAUGCAUCACUCGUUGCAAAUGAGCUCAUUGAUGAGUGGAAUAGAAAGGGCAAGAAGGGCAUUGUUAUCAAACUUGAUAUAGAGAAGGUUUUCGACACCGUUGAUUGUGCUUUCUUGAACUCCAUCCUUCAAGCUAGAGGCUUCGGCUGUCUUUGGAGAAAAUGGAUCAUGGGAUGUAUUCCAUCUGCUAAUUACUCUAUCUUCAUCAAUGGGUGUCCUAGGGGGAAAUCGGUGCCACCAGAGGUAUUAGCCAAGGGAUCCCCUCUCACCUUUCCUUUUCAAUAUCAUUAUUGAUACCCUUAGCAGGAUGUUGUCACUUGCGGAUUUGGAUGGGAGGAUAUAGGGUUUCAGGGUGGGCAGGGACAGGCUCACUAUCACUCACUUACAAUUUGCUGAUAACACUCUACUUUUCUCCACUUACGACCAUGCACUUAUUAAAAACUUAUUUAAUGUUAUUGAUUCUUUUGAGUCUGCUCGGGUUUAUCCAUUAAUCAUCAGAAUAUGAGAUUAUGGGUAUUAAUCUCUCUGCUAAUGAGCUCCAAUGUGUUGCGGAUUUAUAUGGGUGCAAAGUGGGUUUGUGGCCAAAUUCUCCUACCUUGGGCUUCCCCUCCAUGGCAAGCCUCACUCUUUCGUUUUUGGCUUCGGUGGUUGAAAAAAUUGAGCAAAGGAUUAAGGCUUGGGGUUCAUCCUACAUUUCUAAAGGAGGGAGAUUAACUCUCAUUCCAGCAUCCCUGAGUAAUCUUCCUACAUACUACCUCUCUCUCUCUUUACAAACUCCCUAGUAAGGUGGCUCUUACUAUGGAAAAGCUCUAUAGACAUUUCCUUUGGAAAGGGAAAGAUGAUGGAUCAAACUUGCACCCUGUCCAUUGUGACAAAGAUACCUCUCCCCAAUCUCUCAGUGGCUUGGGAAUCAUUAAUCUCAAGCUUAGGAAUGAGGGUCUUCUUGCAAAAUGGAUUUGCCGUUUUAGGGUGGAGAAAACUGCUCUUUGGAGAAGUGUGAUUGCUGGUAAAUUUGGUACCUCUAGAUGUGGCAACAAGGCUGGUUCCUGUUCUAUGUCUACUGCUAAGGGCCCAUGGAAAGCCUUGUCUUACCUUCAACCUUGUGUGGAUCAAUAUGUUGCUGUUACUUUGGGAUCUAUAUCCUUUUGGAGAGACUCAUGGGUGAAUAACAGCCCGUUGAGGUUUGCUUUUCCCAAUCUAUUUGCGUUAUCCCUUGCCAAAGAUGCUAUGGUCUCCGAGCUAUGGAACUCGAUGGAGGGUGGGUGGAACCUUCAUCCCCGUAGACAUCUCAAUGACCUGGAAACAGAAGAAUAGCUGUCCGCUCAAAUUUGCUUGUAUCUCAUCAACUCCUACUAACAGAAGACAAGUGGUUUUGGAAGCUUGAGCCCCUUUGGGCCCUACACUACAAAGUCUUGGAUCGACAACAAUUAUGAUAUUGGCACCAUUUCAUUCGAGGGCCCAACUGGUGCUAUUUGGUCCGAUCAAUAUCCUAAAAAAAUUAAAAGUUUCCUUUGGGAGCUUGCUCAUAAGGUGGUUGUCACUUAUGAAAAGCUUCAGUGCCGUCUCCCCAAUAAGAUGCAAGUGGCUUUGGAAGCUUGAGCCCCUUUGGGAUGUACACAACAAAGUCUUGGAUUGACAACAGCUAUGAUAUUGGCACCAUUUCAUUCGAGGGCCCAACUGGUGCUAUUUGGUCCGAUCAAUAUCCCAAAAAAAUUAAAAUUUUCCUUUGGGAGCUUGCUCAUAAGGCGGUUGUCACUUAUGACAAGCUUCGGCGUCGUCUCCCUAAUAAGAUGCUUUCACCCUAUUAGUGCUCCCUUUGUAGAAAUGACACUGAAAACCAAGAUCAUAUCUUCAUCCUUUCUCCAAGAACUUUUGGAACCAUAUUCUUCAGGCUUUCAACUAGUGUGUGGUCUUUCCUGGGCACAUCACCCAUUUUCUUUCCCUUGUUUUAGACAGCCACCCUUUCAAGGGUAGAAAGGGUCUUCUCUGGAAACAGCUCGUUAGAGCUUUUUUGUGGUCAAUUUGGCUCGAACGAAACAACCGCAUCUUCAAGCACAAAGCCAAACACUUUGACAUCUUCUUAGACCAUGUGUCUAACAUUGCUAUCUCUUGGUGUAAAUUGUCUAAGCAUUUCAAUUCUUAUGGCUUUAAUACUCUUUUGUUCAAUUGGUGAUGCCUUUUGUAACUGACAUCUUCUUAGACCAUGUGUCUAACAUUGCUAUCUCUUGGUGUAAAUUGUCUAAGCAUUUCAAUUCUUAUGGCUUUAAUACUCUUUUGUUCAAUUGGCGAUGCCUUUUGUAACUCCUUUGUUCCGGGGUCUCUCUCCCCCUUUCUUUUGUAAUUUCAUACAUCAAUAAAAUUGUUUCUUAUAAAAAAGAAAAAAAAAUCUGAAACAGUAUUCCACGGAUUAAGGAAAUUGGCAUCAAAGAAUUUCUCCUUUCCUUUAUUGGGUUGAUUUGAUGUGGACUAUUGCACACUUCCCAUUUAUAGAUAAUGGUUGUGUAUUUGCACAUUUUCAUUGGUAAAAAUAAGCAGCUUCUUAGGUUGGUAAUUGACAUGUGGGGAAGUACCAUCUACCUAUAUGCACACCUUAGGCAAUAUUUUACAUAGUUGGAAACCCUUUUUCUAGGGGGUUUUGUGCGCUUGGUUUUUUGUAUUCCCGUAUUCUUUCAUUUUUUGUUUCUCAAUAAAAGCAGUUGUUUCUACAUAUUUUUUUCUUUUCUUUUUUUUUUUUUAAAAAACCUAUUUGCACACCUUCAGUUAGUAAAUAUCAGCAACAACGGAAGGUCUUUUUCUUCACCGCUCUUCCCCUUCCUCAUUACUUUAAGGGCUCAUAACAAUGCAUUCCUAGCUAAAUGGCUCUGGUGGUUCCAUCUCGAGUCUAAUUCCCCUUUGGCGAAGGGUUAUUGUGAGCAAAUAUGGCCCUCUCCCUUUCAAAUGGAUUGGAAGAGGGAGGGACUAAAGGCAUUUGUAUAACCCCUUAGAAAGGUAUAAUUGUGGGGAUCAUAUUCUUUUCAGUUUUCAUAGUUAGUCCAGUGUUCGGUGGGUGAUGGGAGGGAUUUUUUUUCUUGGAGGAUAGGUUGUUGGGGGAUAGAUCCCUCUCCGGUCUUUUCCCUUGUUUGUAUCAUUUGUUAUCAAUUAAGAAGCACUCAAUGGCAGAUGUGUUGCCCUUUUCUCAGACCUUUUCUUUGCCUAUGCUGGGGUUCCAACAUUCUGUCUGGUAGGGAAAUAUCAGAUGUUAUUAUGUUUCUCUCUUUGAUUUUGGAGUUUUGUUGUAGUCUGGGGAGCAAGGAUGUUCUUUUUGUAGCCAUUAUCACAAGACUUCUUGUGAAAGUUCUUAAGGUUUUUUUUUUUUUUGGCCAAUCCUUCUCCCUUGAAUGGUGCCUUGGCCUUCCCGUGGAAGGUGAAAAGUCCAAAUAAUGGUUGGUUCUCCAUGGAAUGGGUUAACACAUCGGAUGAAGUUUCGAGAAGGUUGCACAAUUUGAUUGGAUCCUUUCUUAUAUCUUUUGUAGGCGGGUGGAUAAGGACCUUGAUCAUAUCAUCUGGAGUUGGAACUUUGCGCAGGGGAUUUGGAGUUGUUUUUUCGAGGAGUUUGGCUUGAGUUCGUCUAGACGUAGAGGCUUUACAAAGAUGCUUGAGAAACUCCUUUCCCUCCUUUUUGUAAGAAAUGAAGUUUUUUGUGGCAGUCGAAGGUCUGUGUAGUUUUUUGGAGUAUUUGGGGGGAGGUGAAUAACUGAGUCUUUAGAGGGUUUGAGAGACCUUGGAGUGAUGUUUGGAUCCUUGUUAGGUUCAUCGUCUCUGUGGGAUUUGGUGGCUAAGCCGUUAUGUAACUAUGCAUCAGCCUUAUUUUGCUUAACUGGAGGCCCUUUCUUUAGUUUGCCUCCUCCUUUUGUGGAGGGCCCUUUUUUUGGUUUAUUGUGUCUGCCUUUUUGUAUGUCUUUGUAUUCUUUUAUUUCAUCUCAGUCAAUGAGAGUAAUCCAUUAAAAAGAAA